UGCUACAUAUAGGCACAGCUGUGAUGCUUAAGGCAGAUAAAAGGUGGUGGAUUGUUGGGUUUUUUUUUUUUUUUUAAAGCAUACACAGAGUAAGAGAAGGUAUGCUGAUGUAGUAUUGAGGUACCUGGAGCAGCAGAAGGGAGCAGUAUGCGGCAGCAGUUGGCAGCAGUUGGCAGCAGAAAGAAGAAGCAUUGAUAGAACAGGCUCCCUUGACCAGCAUACUGGUAUUGGACUUUGGUUGAAUAGAGGGAGAUGUUUUUUGGAGUGAAUAAUCCAACCGACUUGUAAUGAGGCUUGUGAAGGAUAAUUUAAGGUGAAAAACAGGGAAGCCACUUCCAAAUCUGCCUGCUCAAUCACUAACCACCUGAGACCAGCAGUCCUGAGCAGGAGUAAGAAAGUCAUCCUGAACCAAGAGCUCUCCAAUGGAGUCAACUACUAGGUGGAUGGGUUGAGAAGGUGUUGACAGUUUGGUAGAAGAGAAACUUGUGUGGAUAUAUAACAACCAACUACUUGCCUCUUAAGGAAGCACUGCUUUAACUCAGAUGAGAAACGGAAUUAUUAGUACGAAAAGGUAAUUAAUUGCAAUUGAAUAGCCUGCUUGAAAUCACUGGUUGAACUCGGGAGAAUUCAGGAAAAGAAAACAAUACAAAGUCUACGGACACCAUUUGCAAGUUAUUUCCUCUGAAGAUUUUAAAACCAAGCCCUCGCAUGGCUAUAUCCAUAAAAAGGCAGAUGCUCUGUCAUUUCAAAGGGACUCAGUUUUCAGUGAAUUGACCUUGUAAUUGCAGUGCUUAUUAAAAUGACUGGUUAUUUUGUUCCAAUGAUAGAAAGUUGGUAGAAGAACAUGAAUUGCAAAU